rnacentral:rRNA from 1 species
GAGUUUGAUCAUGGCUCAGGAUGAACGCUGGCGGCGUGCCUAACACAUGCAAGUCGAGCGAAGCAUACAGGAGGAAGUUUUCGGAUGGAAUCCUGCAUGGCUGAGCGGCGGACGGUGAGUAACGCGUGGGUAACCUGCCUUAUACAGGGGGAUAACAGUUAGAAAUGACUGCUAAUACCGGCAUAAGCGCACAGUACCGCAUGGUAGUGUGUGAAAAACUCCGGUGGUAUAAGGAUGGACCCGCGUCUGACUAGCCAGUUGGCGAGGU